AUCCUUGCUAAAGCAUGUCUCCCAAAAGUGGGCACCGGUUUUGGGACAAAGACAUGCGAAACAAAAGUCUACAGCAGGUCGCAUGAAUCCGAAUCAACGCGACCUGCUGUAGGAUCCAGGUCUGCGGCGCUCCUUCGCCGCAGGCCACCUUCCCGAAAUAUGAGUGUAGGG
rnacentral:ncRNA from 1 species